rnacentral:rRNA from 1 species
AGCGGCGGACGGGUGAGUAACACGUGGGCAACCUGCCUGUAAGACUGGGAUAACCCCGGGAAACCGGGGCUAAUACCGGAUAAUACUUUCUUUUGCAUAAAGGAAAGUUGAAAGGCGGCUUCGGCUGUCACUUACAGAUGGGCCCGCGGCGCAUUAGCUAGUUGGUGAGGUAACGGCUCACCAAGGCGACGAUGCGUAGCCGACCUGAGAGGGUGAUCGGCCACACUGGGACUGAGACACGGCCCAGACUCCUACGGGAGGCAGCAGUAGGGAAUCUUCCGCAAUGGACGAAAGUCUGACGGAGCAACGCCGCGUGAGUGAUGAAGGUUUUCGGAUCGUAAAACUCUGUUGUUAGGGAAGAACAAGUUGGGUAGUAACUGACCCAACCUUGACGGUACCUAACCAGAAAGCCACGGCUAACUACGUGCCAGCAGCCGCGGUAAUACGUAGGUGGCAAGCGUUGUCCGGAAUUAUUGGGCGUAAAGCGCUCGCAGGCGGUCCUUUAAGUCUGAUGUGAAAUCUCGCGGCUCAACCGCGAACGGUCAUUGGAAACUGGAGGACUUGAGUACAGAAGAGGAGAGUGGAAUUCCACGUGUAGCGGUGAAAUGCGUAGAGAUGUGGAGGAACACCAGUGGCGAAGGCGACUCUCUGGUCUGUAACUGACGCUGAGGAGCGAAAGCGUGGGGAGCGAACAGGAUUAGAUACCCUGGUAGUCCACGCCGUAAACGAUGAGUGCUAGGUGUUAGGGGGUUUCCGCCCCUUAGUGCUGAAGUUAACGCAUUAAGCACUCCGCC